AUUGAACGCUGGCGGCAUGCCUUACACAUGCAAGUCGAACGGCAGCACGGGUGCUUGCACCUGGUGGCGAGUGGCGAACGGGUGAGUAAUACAUCGGAACAUGUCCUGUAGUGGGGGAUAGCCCGGCGAAAGCCGGAUUAAUACCGCAUACGAUCUACGGAUGAAAGCGGGGGACCUUCGGGCCUCGCGCUAUAGGGUUGGCCGAUGGCUGAUUAGCUAGUUGGUGGGGUAAAGGCCUACCAAGGCGACGAUCAGUAGCUGGUCUGAGAGGACGACCAGCCACACUGGGACUGAGACACGGCCCAGACUCCUACGGGAGGCAGCAGUGGGGAAUUUUGGACAAUGGGCGAAAGCCUGAACCAGCAAUGCCGCGUGUGUGAAGAAGGCCUUCGGGUUGUAAAGCACUUUUGUCCGGAAAGAAAUCCUUGGCCCUAAUACGGUCGGGGGAUGACGGUACCGGAAGAAUAAGCACCGGCUAACUACGUG
rnacentral:rRNA from 1 species